GCGGACGUGGUGGAAUUGGUAGACACACAGGACUUAAAAUCCUGAGGGCGAAAGCCCGUGCGGGUUCGACCCCCGCCGUCCGCA
rnacentral:tRNA from 1 species